CACGCCGUAAACGAUGAAUACUAGGUGUAGGAGGUAUCAACUCCUUCUGUGCCGCAGUUAACACAAUAAGUAUUCCGCCUGGGAAGUACGAUCGCAAGAUUAAAACUCAAAGGAAUUGAC
rnacentral:rRNA from 1 species